UACGAAGGGUGCAAGCGUUACUCGGAAUUACUGGGCGUAAAGCGUGCGUAGGUGGUUUGUUAAGUCUGUUGUGAAAGCCCCGGGCUCAACCUGGGAAUGGCAUUUGGGACUGCAAGGCUGGAGUGCGGCAGAGGAGACUGGAAUUCCUGGUGUAGCAGUGAAAUGCGUAGAUAUCAGGAGGAAUACCGAUGGCGAAGGCAGGUCUCUGGGCUGACACUGACGCUCAUGCACGAAAGCGUGGGGAGCAAACAGG
rnacentral:rRNA from 1 species